UUCCACGGUCGCCAUCACCGACGAGCGAGAAUCUCAAAGGAAUCUAGACUGGAGAAUGGGGGAUUUGACAAUGUGAUCCACGAGCAUAGGUAAGUGUGAGUGAUCUUACAGAGGAUCGAUCGAUCGAGCAAGGCAUCCGAGAGAGAUUUGCAUCAUGUACGUGGUGGAGGACAAAGGGGGCGCCAUCGCGCUCAUGCUCACGGCGCUCGUCUUCCUGGGGACAUGGCCAGCGAUCAUGAACCUGUUAGAACGAAGAGGGCGAUUGCCACAGCACACGUACCUCGACUACUGCAUCACCAAUUACAUUGCUGCCAUUGUCAUCGCGCUCACGCUCGGCCAGAUCGGCGAGAGUUCCACUCAGACUCCCAAUUUCCUGGAGCAGCUCAAGCAGGUGAUCG
rnacentral:lncRNA from 1 species